GUAUAGAUAUUUUUAGCUGUCACUGUGUGUCGCAUGCAAGUGGUUCUAAAGUACCACCCAUCAUAUUCCGUAACGGAUAACGCAAGAAUACGAUUCCAAUUGCGUGCACAUCGCAAUCCAGAACAUGAGGUGGGUUUCUGGUUUGGGAUAACCCACUUGAAUUUGCAUAAUUUCAUCUCGAAAUUGACACUUCACAUCUAUACGACUUUACGAGCUUAUGCCGGCAAAAAAAAAAAAAACUAACAUCAUGAGACGACGAUGAAGAUCGUACCCUCCAUGGAUUGCGUUUUUUUUCAGCACCCAGUUUUUCCUCAACUCUUCAUCAGCUCAAGUUUCAGCUUUCAUCGCUCUAUCACAGCUCCUCAGAGGGUGGGAACUGGCCCAAUUGGGAUUCAGGGGCACAGGUGGCUGAAUUCUGGAUGUUGGGCUGUGAAGGAACCUGGGAUUGGAGCUGACAACCUGUUUGAUGAAAGUCCUAUGGGAGGAAACGAAAAUGGGUCUUUGUUGGGUGGGUUGGACGACUCGUCCUCGGCACCAUUUGGGACAGUGAACGCGGAGAUUACGGCAGAGACCAGUGAUUUCUUUGUCAGUGAUGCCGAGGGAGACCCUGACUGCCCAACUGAAGGGUACUCUUCCAUUGAGCAGGCACUUAAUAUGCUAUGCCAAGGCAAGUUUGUGAUUGUUGUAGAUGAUGAAAGUGGGGAAGUUGAAGGAAACCUUAUCAUGGCAGCCUCUCUUACAAGUACCAUGGCUAUUGCUUUUUUGGUUAAGCAUGGAUCGGGGAUUGUUUCUGUGGGAAUGAAAGCUGAGGAUCUUGAGAGACUAAAGCUACCCUUAAUGUCGCCCGAGAAGGAAGACGACUCGUCUGCUCCCUCUUUCACCAUCACGGUGGAUGUCAACGCUGGCACCUUGACAGGGGUAUCAGCUUCAGACAGAGCAAAAACUGUCCUUGCUCUUUCAUAUCCUAAUUCUAAGCCAGAAGAUUUUCGAAGGCCUGGUCAUGUGUUCCCCCUCAAGUACCGAAAUGGUGGAGUCCUACGGAGAGCUGGUCAUACUGAGGCUUCUGUUGAUUUGACCAUGCUGGCUGGCUUGCCGCCAAUUUCUGUUCUUUCGUCAGUUGUUGAUGCAGAGGAUGGUUCUCUUGCCUCUAUGUCCAGUUUAAGAAAGUUGGCUCUUGACCACAGCAUUCCGAUUGUUUCAAUCACUGAUUUGAUUAGGUAUAGGAGAAAGAGGGAAAAGCUGGUUGAAAGAACUUCUGUUUCACGUUUGCCAACUAAAUGGGGUGUGUUUCAGGCGUAUUGCUAUCGCUCGAAGCUAGAUGGAACAGAGCAUGUAGCGGUAGUGAAGAUAUUUCUUUCUUCCCUUCAAAUACAACAGGGAAACAUUGGUCAUGGACAAGAUGUCCUAGUACGGGUUCAUUCUGAGUGCUUGACUGGGGAUAUCUUUGGAUCAGCUCGGUGUGAUUGUGGAAGCCAGUUGGAAUUGGCAAUGCAGUUGAUUGAACAAGCUGGAAGAGGUGUGGUUGUGUACCUUAGGGGUCAUGAAGGACGUGGAAUUGGCCUGGGUCACAAGCUUAGGGCCUAUAAUUUGCAGGAUGAAGGUCAUGAUACAGUUGAGGCAAAUCUAGAACUUGGAUUUGCUGCUGAUACACGGGAGUAUGGUAUUGGUGCCCAGCUACUAAGAGACGUGGGAGUUCGGACCAUGUGCUUAAUGACCAACAACCCUGCCAAAUUCACCGGUCUGAAAGGCUACGGAUUGGCUGUGGUUGGGCGUGUUCCUGUCUUGACGCCCAUUACUGAAGAAAACCAAAGGAUAUCUUCCCUUUGCAAAGUCCAACAAAAAUACACUGAAACAGAAUACUCACGGUGCAUCCCUGGAUCAAAGAUGUAUGAUCUAUAAAGAGGGCAGCUCGAAAGAGUCUGGAAUGAAGUAUCAAUGCAAGCGACAUGGAAGGAGCGAGAAAAGUUUGGGGCGGCUCCAGGAUUUUUUAUUCUGCGGUGACAAAAAUGUGAAGAAUUUUUCUUGUACACAGAGCUCUAUAUAAAAUAUACUUAUUUGUUUUGGUUCAAAAUUUGUUGGGCUUAGUUUAUUUUGUUUUGUUGAGUUACAUUAUCUAUUUAGUCACAAAUUUAAGUGAACUUUCAUUUUCUUUGGCAAGGUAUGAAUGAUUCAGUUCUGACAAUGUUAAAGAAAAAUCAAGUUAUAUUUGAGAAUAGAAAAGAAUUUAGUACAUUUUUGAAUCCAGGGGGUUCGCUUAAACCCCCUUAUCACAUAGUGGAGCUACCCUUGAUUUUUGGCAAAGUGAAAGUUUGUCGGUACUAUCUUAUCCAUUUAUCAUUUAACCUGAUGCUGAAAUUUACACAUGAAGUUUCUCAGAAUCACAUCAGUCACCUGGUAUGUUCUACUUGAAGAAAAAGUUUCCGAGAAACUUAAACUGAACUUUUGCAGAUGAAAGGAUUGACUGCACUUGUCUUGUGGAUCACUAUUGACUCCUCUUCUACAAUCUGCACAGAGUGCAGAUAACUUUUCCAAUUGCGCUAACUUACGCACACCUCAAUUGAUCUUGGGAACCAAUUUCAUCUAUUUCAAUAUUUCAUGUAUGUUGUUGCUCAACUAGAUGAUCCCAAGGGCGAAGUUCAAACAUGUGACCAAAUUUGGAAUUUAACUUUUCUAAUUGCAUGUAACUCAAUAUUUCAAUACAAGACUCAAAACUUCUUCUGAUCCUUCUGUUUGUUUCACGAAGAGCUUGCAUUUUUUGCAAGAAAAUUCUCCAUGUGUUUAAAUUGAUAUGACACUGCUAGAGAAAAUCCAUUAAACGUAAAAAAAUAAAAUGUUCGUAUUUGUCCUCCAUUUGUAUAUAUGCACACACAUAUACACACGUUCACAGCGAGUUCAGUCUAUAGUGACGGAACGUUUCCGCCAGAGGGGUUUGUCUCCAUGGAACGAGUAUUCACCACUGCUUACAGCACCUUCAUUCAAUCAUCUUGCUACUUCGGAACUGUUCAGCGGACACAUGGAGUCGAACGACAAGUAUAGAAGACAUGACCCGUUCCAGUGGCAUGAUAUUGGAAGCUACAUGGAAUACACAACAAAAACCAGAUUCAAGGGCCGAAUGUUUCAAUUGGAGAUUCAUGUUAUUCUGUGCCUGCAUCUACAUAAGCCAAGUUGAGGUUCAGGUGGGAUGUGAAAUGCUUGAAAAGGGGGAGGAUUCCGCCACCGUGGAAGCGGCCCUGCCACAAGAAGAGUUUGAAGCAGUGGCCCUGCCUCGAGCACAGCCUGCAACAGUUUCCCUUUCUCAGGUAGAACUUUUCCCUUCACGAAAUUGUCAACCACCAAACAACCUUGAUCGAAAUUAGGCAUUUCUGGAACAAAUGGCUUGUUGGGUAUGUUGGAGAGUAGCUCUGGGGAUGAGACAGGAUCAAAUAGGGAAUCAACCGGGGACGAUCCGUACGUAUCGGAUAAGCUGUUUGAUUCAGUUAUGCUUGAGUUAGCUUUGGUGGGUUGGAAUUGGGGUGGGGCAGUGAGGAAUUCAGCUGGUGGAGUGGAAGGAGUCAGUUUGGUAAGUAGUUUUUGGAGUUGGUCUCUUGCUUCAUCUCUUUCUUGCCAAGCUUGUUUGAGGUGUUGAAGCAGUUGCUUCAUGUUCUCAUUUGCUGAUUCCAGUUCCAGGUUGGUAUACACAAGCCUCUGCUUCAGUUCAUCCAUGCCCUGCAAUUUCAGACAAGAGUUAAUGAGA